GAGCGCUCGCUGGCUGGCUGGCUAACGGAAAGGCUGGCUGGACUCGGGGAUCCAGCCACACUGCUGGCGGGCAGCAUGCUGUCCACCCUGCGGGUGCCUUUCUCAGACUAGGGCCCGCAUGAAUUCCGCCUCCCGGGAGAAGCUGACGUCGGCAUGCCUUCCAGGGGCAGCGGCUGCCCUCCAGGGUCUGGAACUUGGGGGUCAUGCUGCCUCCAACUCCUGACUCUGUGGCCCCAAGAGGAAGAGGAAGCUGGGUGGGAUCUUAGGGGCCAUGUGGACUAGGCAGCCCACUGGGGAGUGGGCACGUGAAAAGUACUUUGGGACACGGAGUUCCAAUCAAACAGAAGACUGGAACCUCAGCACCUCCAAAGCUCACGGACCCGCUGGUGAGGGCUGCCCGGACUGCUGAUUCCACUCAGCCACUCACCACCCGCCCUGUCUGCCAGGUGCCAUGUGCAAGGAUGCUGCAUUUUCUGCUAAUGGGGGUGGGGGAUGGCAGGAGACAUAAUGGGGUGGGGAGGGGUCAUUGCUAUUGUCGUCAUCACUCUUUGUCACCCCAAUGGCAUUCUAUACCUUCUUUUGCAUCUGAUCUCAAGGCAUCAAGAAUAUGAAAAACAGCUCUUCUGUCCCCAAAAGGGAGAUCUUACCUUAAGCAAUGGGAUUACCAUUAAGUACAAGACAUUUGACAUUAAACCAUUAAGCACAAGA
rnacentral:lncRNA from 10 species